rnacentral:rRNA from 1 species
ACGGGAGGCAGCAGUGGGGAAUAUUGGGCAAUGGGCGGAAGCCUGACCCAGCAACGCCGCGUGAAGGAAGAAGGUUUUCGGAUUGUAAACUUCUGUCCUUGGUGACGAAGGAAGUGACGGUAGCCAAGGAGGAAGCCCCGGCUAACUACGUGCCAGCAGCCGCGGUAAUACGUAGGUUGCAAGCGUUGUCCGGAUUUACUGGGUGUAAAGGGCGUGUAGGCGGAGCUGCAAGUCAGAUGUGAAAUCCCGGGGCUCAACCCCGGAACUGCAUUUGAAACUGUAGCCCUUGAGUAUCGGAGAGGCAAGCGGAAUUCCUAGUGUAGCGGUGAAAUGCGUAGAUAUUAGGAGGAACACCAGUGGCGAAGGCGGCUUGCUGGACGACAACUGACGCUGAGGCGCGAAAGCGUGGGGAGCAAACAGGAUUAGAUACCCUGGUA